GUCCACGCCCUAAACGAUGUCAACUAGUUGUUGGUGGAGUAAAAUCCAUGAGUAACGUAGCUAACGCGUGAAGUUGACCGCCUGGGGAGUACGGACGCAAGUUUAAAACUCAAAUGAAUUGACGGGGGCCCGCACAAGCGGUGGAUUAUGUGGAUUAAUUCGAUGCAACGCGAAAAACCUUACCUGGCCUUGACAUGUACGGAACUUUCCAGAGAUGGAUUGGUGCCUUCGGGAACCGUAACACAGGUGCUGCAUGGCU
rnacentral:rRNA from 1 species